rnacentral:rRNA from 1 species
UACGUAGGGGGCAAGCGUUGUCCGGAUUUAUUGGGCGUAAAGAGCGUGUAGGCGGCUAGAUAGGUCCGUUGUGAAAACUCGAGGCUCAACCUCGAGACGCCGGUGGAAACCAUCUAGCUAGAGUCCGGAAGAGGAGAGUGGAAUUCCUGGUGUAGCGGUGAAAUGCGCAGAUAUCAGGAAGAACACCCGGGGCGAAGGCGGGAUCCUGGGCCAGUACUGACGCUGAGGAGCGAAAGCGUGGGGAGCAAACAGG